rnacentral:rRNA from 1 species
UAACAGGGAAAAGCUUGCUUUUCCGCUGACGACCGGCGCACGGGUGCGUAACACGUAUGCAACCUACCUCUUACUGAAGGACAGCCCAGAGAAAUUUGGAUUAAUACUUCAUAACACCACAAGAUCGCAUGAUCUCAUGGUUAAAGGUUACGGUAAGAGAUGGGCAUGCGUCCUAUUAGUUUGUUGGUGAGGUAAUGGCUCACCAAGACUACGAUAGGUAGGGGGUCCUGAGAGGAUUAUCCCCCCACACUGGUACUGAGACACGGACCAGACUCC